rnacentral:rRNA from 1 species
UAGGGAAUAUUGCACAAUGGGCGCAAGCCUGAUGCAGCCAUGCCGCGUGUAUGAAGAAGGCCUUCGGGUUGUAAAGUACUUUCAGCGAGGAGGAAGGCAUUAAGGUUAAUAACCUUGGUGAUUGACGUUACUCGCAGAAGAAGCACCGGCUAACUCCGUGCCAGCAGCCGCGGUAAUACGGAGGGUGCAAGCGUUAAUCGGAAUUACUGGGCGUAAAGCGCACGCAGGCGGUCUGUCAAGUCGGAUGUGAAAUCCCCGGGCUCAACCUGGGAACUGCAUUCGAAACUGGCAGGCUAGAGUCUUGUAGAGGGGGGUAGAAUUCCAGGUGUAGCGGUGAAAUGCGUAGAGAUCUGGAGGAAUACCGGUGGCGAAGGCGGCCCCCUGGACAAAGACUGACGCUCAGGUGCGAAAGCGUGGGGAGCAAACA